ACCCGGAGGAACGGACCGGCGUCGCGCGGGAAGCCGACCCGGCUCCGCCGCGGACUGGGCAUGCUCGGCAGCCUGAAGCUCCAAGUCAGAAGCCUUCUAGCCAGCUCGGCAGCGGCCGGGGUAGUGGCGGCGGGCUGCCGGCUGGACCCGAGCUAGGAGAGCUGGUUGGGGCGGGCUGCUCGUCCCGGGAGCCUGGCACGCGGGCGGGAGAGCGGGAUCCGGUGCAGAGCCUCCACGCUGCCCUGCCCCGGAUUUCGUUCCGCGGCGGGGGGCUCGGCGCGUGGAAAGAAUUCCGGCGGCUGCCACGACUCCCGUGCAAGGUGAAGGCAGCAUGAACGGUGCCUGUGGACAGACUUAGCCAUUUGAUUUUAUUUAGAAGAUAGCCACGCACUUGGAAGGCAAAGCUUCAGUGGCUGAAGGGGCUGUGAUCUUUCAAGCAGGGUGCAGUUGGAGCAUAGCAGGGGCCUUAUAAGAGUCAGCGCAGACUGGAAGGAAGACUGAUGAAGAAAAGUAACAGCAUGAUUGAGGUGAUGGAAGUGUACUGGAAUGCUGGAAGAAGCUAGUGACUUACAGGAAACCAAGAUGACAAGAGUCUUUUUAAAAUAAUCUGUGAGUAAAUUUUUGCUAGCUCUUUGGAAUUCUUAUAAUGACUGGGUGACUCAUCUUCUAAGAAGUCAUGGUAAAAGGACAGUA